ensembl:lncRNA
UGUCAGUGUUAAAAGAUGCACUCAUCCCCAACUUUUGUGCACCAUAAAAAAAACGCUAUUGUAAGUAAAACAUGACUAUCAUAUUCAGUCAUUUAAAUGACAUGGAAUGGGUUUGUAAAUGCUUAUAAUAAUAUUUUCCUCCCAAUAGGCUCAUAUGCAAAUCUAAAACAUUACAGGCUAAUGAUGUAUAAGACACAUGCUUCACUUCAGUUGAUUGACAGUUGACUAUGUGGCAGUGGACAGGUUACAUCUUGUUUCCACUACUUGUCAAUGCAUAAACCUGGGAACACCUGGGAACUUCCAUCCUGAAGGGCUGAAAGACAUAUCUUCUACCUGGUAGGUAUUCAUCCUCACCAGGUGUCUCAGGUCUGAAUUAGAAGGACAGGGUGAAGACCAGAAGGGUUUGUCCCUCCAGGUUGGGACAUCCCAACUAUCGGCCAAUGCUGACAAAGCCUUUUAUGAUUCCACUCACUGAGUGGAUAACAGGGGCUCCCCCUUAAAACUUUCAAUGCCUAUUAGUUUGAUAGUCUGUAAUUUUUCAGCAUUGUCCAAUGGCCCUAGGUUUUUACCAGCUCUUGUGUGUGUUUUCCUGGUGUCUUUGAUUAAUGGGUCAUUUAAUGGGUCAUUUGACGGCUUGUCAUUUGACGGCGUGUGUGAGUUUGUUAAUCAUAUCCACAGGCUAAACAUUAUUCUGUCAUACAUCUGGAUUUCUCCAUUAUUGUAGAAAUAUGGCGUGAACCUAUCAUAUGUGUGUACUGCAAACACUAUUCAAUUGUAAGCUGACGUGUGUAGACAAAAUCAGGCCAGCCCUGAUGAUUAUUGUUUCUUGCCAGCUUUGCUGUUCUAAGAAGAUGAGAGAAAUUAGUCUUUUAAGAACCAAUGGUUUUGCGAAGCAUGUCGAUCUGGUUGGUGCACAUUCGGUAAGGGGUUAUGGUAAGGGUUAUGGUAAGGGUUAUGGUAAGGGGUUAUGGUAAGGGGUUAUGGUAAGGGUUAUGGUAAGGGUUAUGGUAAGGGGUUAUGGUAAGGGGUUAUGGUAAGGGGUUAUGGUUAGCCUAAGUUAACUAAUGUUAUUAUCUAAUGUUAUUAUUAUAUCAGUGUUCAGUCAGACUACCUUUUAAAGGUAACGCAUAACGUAACGCGUUAGUUUUAAAUAAUCCCUUACUAGUUACUUUUUAAAUAAAGUUACUU